UCUUGACUAGAUAUAGAUAACUUGCUACAGCUCACCAUACACUUUUAUGUUAUGGUCUCUUACCUUAAACCUCAUUAAUACAACCUCUGCUAUCUUCCAAAUGUUCUUCUGCAGCUUCCUCACCUCUCAGCCUUCACAGAAUUGAAAAGAAACAGGAUCUUACUCUUGAUUGGGCUUUGACUUGAAGGAAUGUUGUGGCUGAUUUGAACUAUCCAGACAACUAAAACUUUCUCCAUAUCAGCAAUAAGGAUUUACAACAGUCAAUCAAGGAAGUCAUGGGGAAGAUUGUGAAUAUUGCCAAAAAAAAAAAGUUGGGAGGGAAGAGUUUAAGAUACAGAUAUUGGAGAAAUUCAAGAGCCAACAGAAACCACAUCAGAGGAAUUAACAGAAGAUGACUUGAUGGAGAUGAAUGCUUCCAAACAGUGCCAGAUGAUAAGAGGUAGAAGAAGCAGUGCCAGAAAACAAGCUGAUAUUAGGCAAUCUGGCAGAAGUGUUGUUCCAGUUAUUCAAGACUGCUUUGACUUCUCCUGACAUGGAUGCCUACUAUAACACAGACACUGAAAAUAAAGCAAACAACAGAAGACGAAUUGGUACUGUACAGAAACAUUUUUAGAGAGCUGAAAAAGCAAAACCGACAAAUUAGGAUGAACUUUCAUAAAGCUAUAUUGAGUGCGCCUACCUUUUCGGCCUCCCCUUCUACCUUCUGGUUCUCUUCCACCCUUGAGAUUUGCAAGACCAACCCCUUCUCUUCCUCCUUCUCCUCAGCCUACUCAACAUGAAGAAGAUAAGAAUGAAGACCUGUAUCAUGAUCCACCUCCACUUAAUGCAUGGCAAAUAUAUUUUCUUCCUAUGAUUUGCUUAA